rnacentral:rRNA from 1 species
CCUUACCAGGUCUUGACAUCCGAUGCUAUUCUAGAGAUAGAAAGUUACUUCGGUACAUCGGUGACAGGUGGUGCAUGGUUGUCGUCAGCUCGUGUCGUGAGAUGUUGGGUUAAGUCCCGCAACGAGCGCAACCCCUAUUGUUAGUUGCCAUCAUUCAGUUGGGCACUCUAGCGAGACUGCCGGUAAUAAACCGGAGGAAGGUGGGGAUGACGUCAAAUCAUCAUGCCCCUUAUGACCUGGGCUACACACGUGCUACAAUGGUUGGUACAACGAGUUGCGAGUCGGUGACGGCGAGCUAAUCUCUUAAAGCCAAUCUCAGUUCGGAUUGUAGGCUGCAACUCGCCUACAUGAAGUCGGAAUCGCUAGUAAUCGCGGAUCAGCACGCCGCGGUGAAUACGUUCCCGGGCCUU